rnacentral:lncRNA from 1 species
CUAAUUAUAUUCAACUUAAACCAGUUACAUAAGCCGGAGAUUGCCAAUAAAGGUUCUCGGAGACAAUAGUCCACACAAGGGAGACAAAGAUUAGACAAAGAUACAAAACAUAGAACUAAACAACUAAUCAAUCUAAACUAGAAGGCAAGAGUGACAGAUAAAAAGAAACCUUUACAAAACACAGAAUAGCAUGCAGAUUUGAUAGAGCUUCUUUGAAAGAAGACAAGGCGAGGAAGCCAUCCAUGACUAUAAACCUUCGGCUUGUGACUCCUCCUAUGAUGAAUAGUCCAGACGAAUUAGAGAACAAAGCUUCAUAUCCAGGAGACAGAACAAUUUCAGUUCAUAAGUCUUCCACCGGAAAGACGAUGACGGAGAGGAUACCACGAAACGCCAUAACUGAAGCCAUAAAGAAGGGAAGAUCUUGAUCAAAUCUUAAAGUUAGAUGACAAAGAGCGAGACAACUCACAAACCGGUAUAAACUAUCCCGAUAGAUCAAGAUAGCCGAAGAUCGAGCCCAAAUAUGAGCCAAAGAGAACUCAAAAUCGACAUGGAAACUCAUUCAAAUCAACACAAGAUUUCAAACAAUACCCAGUCAAAAGGGAAAAGAACACAAACCACUCUUCCCAGAAAGAUCGAUAACACAAAAUAAGAUCGACUUCGGCUCUAUGGAAACAGCAAGAGUCUGCGAAACGGUGAGAUCAAUCGGAGGAAACCAAGAGAGAAGGCAUAGGAUUAAGAGAGAAAAAAAGGACUAAGAUAAGCAAACUGGUC